UGGCCAAUGAUCAAUUAAGCCAUAUAAAUUACUCAUGUUCUCAACUCAAUUAGAAACAAACCUACCAUAAACCUCAAAAAAAGAGAA
rnacentral:rRNA from 1 species